rnacentral:rRNA from 1 species
CCUACGGGAGGCAGCAGUGGGGAAUCUUGGACAAUGGGCGCAAGCCUGAUCCAGCCAUGCCGCGUGAGUGAUGAAGGCCUUAGGGUCGUAAAGCUCUUUCGCCAGAGAUGAUAAUGACAGUAUCUGGUAAAGAAACCCCGGCUAACUCCGUGCCAGCAGCCGCGGUAAUACGGAGGGGGUUAGCGUUGUUCGGAAUUACUGGGCGUAAAGCGUACGUAGGCGGAUUAGUCAGUCAGAGGUGAAAUCCCAGGGCUCAACCCUGGAACUGCCUUUGAUACUGCUAGUCUUGAGUUCGAGAGAGGUGAGUGGAAUUCCAAGUGUAGAGGUGAAAUUCGUAGAUAUUUGGAGGAACACCAGUGGCGAAGGCGGCUCACUGGCUCGAUACUGACGCUGAGGUACGAAAGUGUGGGGAGCAAACAGGAUUAGAUACCCUGGUAGUCCACACCGUAAACGAUGAAUGCCAGUCGUCGGGCAGUAUACUGUUCGGUGACACACCUAACGGAUUAAGCAUUCCGCCUGGGGAGUACGGUCGCAAGAUUAAAACUCAAAUGAAUGACGGAAUCUCGACUGCAGAGAGGG